rnacentral:rRNA from 1 species
AUGCUUGCAUCCGCCGACGACCGGCGCACGGGUGCGGAACGCGUAUGGAACCUGCCCCUGUCAGGGGAAUAGCCCAGAGAAAUUUGGAUUAAUGCCCCAUGGUACCUUUAGGACACAUGUUCUUAAGGUUAAAGAUUUAUCGGACAGGGAUGGCCAUGCGUACCAUUAGCUAGUUGGUAAGGUAACGGCUUACCAAGGCAACGAUGGUUAGGGGCCCUGAGAGGGGGAUCCCCCACACUGGUACUGAGACACGGACCAGACUCCUACGGGAGGCAGCAGUGAGGAAUAUUGGACAAUGGGCGGGAGCCUGAUCCAGCCAUGCCGCGUGCAGGAUGACGGCCCUAUGGGUUGUAAACUGCUUUUGUACGGGAAGAAACCUGUCCACGUGUGGACAGCUGACGGUACCGUAAGAAUAAGGACCGGCUAACUCCGUGCCAGCAGCCGCGGUAAUACGGAGGGUCCGAGCGUUAUCCGGAAUCAUUGGGUUUAAAGGGUCCGUAGGCGGGCCUAUAAGUCAGGGGUGAAAGGCCACGGCUCAACCGUGGGACUGCCCUUGAUACUGUAGGUCUUGAGUUAUGGUGGGGUUGCCGGAACAUGUGGUGUAGCGGUGAAAUGCAUAGAUAUCACAUAGAACACCGAUCGCGAAGGCAGGUGACCAACCAUAUACUGACGCUGAUGGACGAAAGCGUGGGGAGCGAACGGGAUUAGAUACCCCGGUAGUCCACGCCGUAAACGAUGGAUACUAGCUGUCGGGACCUCGGUCUCGGCGGCCAAGCGAAAGUGAUAAGUAUCCCACCUGGGGAGUACGUUCGCAAGAAUGAAACUCAAAGGAAUUGACGGGGGCCCGCACAAGCGGUGGAGCAUGUGGUUUAAUUCGAUGAUACGCGAGGAACCUUACCAGGGCUUAAAUGUACGUUGCA